rnacentral:sRNA from 1 species
AAAAUCUACAAGCAUUUUAAUGGGAAUCAGGAAUAGUAUAACUUGUGUUGAAUGCUCAUUUAUUAAUGAGAAUCCUAAUAGUUAUAACAAGAUACCCACCUUUACACAAAGGGUUUUA